GGCCAUUUUUUUAACUGGAGGAGCCAUCGGAGGAGCCACCAACGGAGGAGCAAUUAUUAGAAUAAUUACAGCUGCAGCGUGUGGAAAGCGUGGGAGGGCACUGUUGCCGAAGGAGAGGCUGCGGGUUGCCUGGAGAAGCAGCUCCUUCUCCUCCACUGCGUCUCGCUGUGAGUGUUUCAGCUGCCAUUCCCCCCUCUGUCUGCUGAGAGGAGGGAAAGAGAGGAAGUGGAUCAGCCACCCUAGAGCAAGCCACAAGAGAGAGCCCCAACAGGAGAUACAGUUCCUCUGGUUCCCUAUCAAUGAGGUUCAGAACUUCAAAGCAGUUCCUGAUGUUCUCCUUGAAAAUGAGUAGGGACUGGCAGCCAUCUGUCCUGCACCAGCAUCCAGCCCAAAGAAGGUUGUCAGCUGCCUUCCUAAUAUUUGGAAGAAAAAGCCUUGUGCUUAGUAGGCUCAGAAUCAGAAGCCCUUGAAUGGAGAAAGGCAAAGAUAGCAUGGGCAGUAUCUUCCUGUUGCAAUUCAGAAGAAACAGCAGAUGAUUGUAUGGCCAGCAUCCUUACAUAUGAGAAUUUUCGAAAGAAAGAAAGAAAGAAAGAAAGAAAGAAAGAAAGAAAGAAAGAAAGAAAGAAAGAAAGAAAGAAAGUAAGUCAACAUGCAGUUACAUGGCUCCUGUAACUGCUCCACAACUUAGCCUGUAUUCAGAUGUACAAGAUAACCACAGUUAACUGUGCCUGGGUUACAAUUCCUAACUCCAAUUUGUGCCGCUGACAUUCAACAAACUGCGGCCAGCCAAACUGGAGUUGAAGGAGAGGAGAGCCCCUCCCUGACACUCAGCCUCCCAGCCCAAUCCCAGCCAGAUUUGUGGCGUGACUGUGGGCAAACCAUCACA